CCAGGGAUUUAAAUAACGGUCCGUUACCGAAAUAGCGGCCGUUAUAUAGCGGUAGCGGCGCCGUCCGAAACCGCAAUUGCUGAAAAUAGCGGUGAGAAGCGGAGUCACACCGAUAGCGGUGGAUCACGGCCGCAAUUUAACGGGUAACGGCCAAUUGCGGCAAUAACGGGCCGCUAUUCCCGUUAUUUCCCGUUAACAGCAAAUUAAAAAAAAAUCAUCUCCUUUAAACAAAAAUCAACAGAAACACUGAAACACAGUUCAAUCAAAAAAAGGAAAAAGAACAAAGAACAAAGAACAAAGAAGAUAACGGGAAAAAGAACAAAAAACAAAAAAGAGGAGGUAUGCCUGAAAAUGGAGCUCCCUGAGGGCCUGAGUACGCUGAAGAACAAAGAAGAUACGAUUAGCUAUGUGAACCAGACUAGAAAGAACCAGACUAGAAAGAACCAGGAGAGGAAGAACGGAAGGAAGAAAGCUUCAAAACAAUAAGAAAAUGGAACGGUUCGGAAGGAAAAGUUUUGAAAAAGGAAAUGGUCAAAUUGAAAAUGAAAUGAUGGGAUUAUGGGAAGAAGAGAGGGCAGAUUUCAGCUGAUUGGGCAAGGAAUCGGUGCCUUUUUUUAGGAUUAUAUCUAGAUUUUUUUACUUUAAAAAUAUUUAGAUUUUUUUACUUUGGGCCAUCUGCUUUGGGCCUUUUUUAGAAUUUUUGUAAUUUUGUUCUAUUAAUAAAAGCCCAAUAUAAUGUUAUUAAAAAAAAAGAAAAAUGAAGUCCAAAUAAACAGCAAAAAGCAAUCAAAGUCUAAAUAUUUAAAACUCUAAAAAUCAUAAAAAAUGAUUUUUUAUAAUUAUAAUUAUAAUUCCUAUGUUUUAUAAUAAGUUGUGCAAAUUUUAAAAAAAUUCACGACCGCGAUAUCCGCAGUAACCGCAAUAGCGUCCGUUAUGUCCGCGACCGCGACAAACGCGACGCGACCGAAAACGCGACCGCGACCGUAAUUUAAAUCCCUG
rnacentral:lncRNA from 1 species